UACGUAGGGUGCGAGCGUUGUCCGGAAUUAUUGGGCGUAAAGAGCUUGUAGGCGGUUUGUCGCGUCUGCUGUGAAAAUCCGGGGCUCAACCCCGGACUUGCAGUGGGUACGGGCAGACUAGAGUGUGGUAGGGGGAGACUGGAAUUCCUGGUGUAGCGGUGAAAUGCGCAGAUAUCAGGAGGAACACCGGUGGCGAAGGCGGGUCUCGUGGGCCGAUACUGACGCUGAGGAGCGAAAGCGUGGGGAGCGAACAGG
rnacentral:rRNA from 1 species